rnacentral:rRNA from 1 species
AGCAGCAGCCACGGGAAUACAGAGGGUGCGAGCGUUAAUCGGAUUUACUGGGCGUAAAGCGUGCGUAGGCGGCUAAUUGAGUCGGAUGUGAAAUCCCCGAGCUUAACUUGGGAAUUGCAUUCGAUACUGGUUAGCUAGAGUGUGGGAGAGGAUGGUAGAAUUCCAGGUGUAGCGGUGAAAUGCGUAGAGAUCUGGAGGAAUACCGAUGGCGAAGGCAGCCAUCUGGCCUAACACUGACGCUGAGGUACGAAAGCAUGGGGAGCAAACAGGAUUAGAUACCCCAGUAGUCCCUGUCUCUUAUAC